rnacentral:lncRNA from 1 species
CAGUCAUUUAAAGGUAGAUUGACAUUUCAUUUGUGAAGCAAUGAGGAAUUCAAUUGGAUUUGGCUGCCUGAGCUGGAUGGAGUGUGGAAGAACCUGAGAGCUACUACCAUGGGGUGGGACUGUCAGCCAGCUCUGGCAGAGUUCCACUGUGCCAUCAGCCAGAUUCUAGUCUUUAGCUCUAAUGUGGACAAAGAAUAGGAAACACUGAGAGAAACUCAAGUCAGUGUUUCGAGAAGGAAGCACAGAGAAUGAAGGACCGUGGUUGGCCUCAUACUGGGGCACUGGAAGUGAGUGGAAUUUGAUGAGAGAAAUCUGUGAAGAUUUUCAAGAAGAGAUGAAGAGAGCUGAAAAGAGAUGUUUUCAUCCCUCCCACCUCAUCAUGCCACCAACUGGGCUCCUUGCCUUCACUCACACCUUGACUCAGUCUCCCUCCUUUCUUUCUCUCAUUCCUAGCCUACUGGUGAAGCUGAAGACUUUCCCACCUGAAACUUCAGUGCUGCCCUCCUUAGUGCCUUUGACUUCCUCUGUGGCUACUACCCCAAUCAGCCACACCAGUCCUCAGUUCUGGAUCUUCCUCUACCCUUGUCUUCCAUCUUCCCUAAUAAUUGCCCCUGGCCCUCAGAAUACAGACGAAACAUGAAGUGGAGCGGUGCUAAGUUGGGUUCAUUUCAUUUUCAUGCAAUUCAUCUCAACCGUGGGACUAUAAGCUCUCUGAAGACCAGCACCAUGUCCUGAUGACUCCUGCAUACUGAGCAUCUAGCACAGUGCCUGGAACACAGCAGGCUCAAUGUGUUCUCUUUGUGCCUUAUCGAACCUGGCUUUUGCUUCUGUUUGGCAAUGCUUCGAUCACCUCUUGUGGAUCUCUUCCCAGUACUCCUCCGCAAUCUACUCUUUCCCUCACUCUCUCUUCUCUUUUUUAUGUCCUUCCUCCCUCUAUUCCUCUCUUUUCUUUCUUUCUAAAAUGCAUUCAAAGAAAAAGUUCAUAUUGUCCAUUUCAUAUGAACCUGACAUAUCUCUUCUUUCUUCUUCAUGUUAUAUUUAUUCCGUAUACCAAUUCUAGUUAGUUUUUCCCCCUUUAAAAUGUCUUGGAUUCUCACCCUUCUUCACGGUGUUCACAGUCAUCAUAACUGAAAUGACUCCCCAUAUUUUCUUCCUGUCUAGGGUUAGUCUCUUCUCCUUUUACUUCAUCCUUUAAUAUGCCAUCAAAAUAACUUCUUUUAUAGAAGGCUUUUAUUAUUUCAGUCUCCUAUUCGAGAACCUAUAGAUGUUUUUCUAUUUAAUUCAACAUGUUUAAGCUCUACUACUAGGCUUGAAAGUGGCUCCACAAACCAAUUCUUCCAAACAGAACUGUUUAUGAAAAAGAAGGAAAUGGAAUAAUGCAAAUUGGAAGAAGCAAAAUUAACUUAGGAAUGUUGUUGCUUUGUUGUUUUAAGACAGGAAAUGUGUGUAUGUUGAAGACAGAGGGAACUGACAAUGCAUGUUAAAGCAAGACGCUGAAAAAAAUAAAAGUGGUCAUUAAUGAAGAUUUCUCUAAAACAAUGUAGGAGGAAAGGAGGGAGUUUAGUUUUGAAAUUUCAGUGUUCCCAGUAAAGCAGUAAGCAAGGCCAUCUGCCAAUAAUGAGCUAAGAAGAGAUGAGGACUUUAGAAGGGCUGAGGGAGUUGGAAUAUUUGCUCAUUCACUCACUCAUUCAUUCCACAGACGUACUGGCCACCUACUGUUACAUGUGAAGGAACACUCCUAGGUAUUUCCCCACUUUUCUCCCAUGGCUUCAGCAUCUGGCCCAACCACAGAAACACAGACAUAUCCCCACUCAGUUCUGAUCUUGUUUGGCUCAUUGUUCUAGUCUGCUGGGAUCUUCUUGAAUCCCAACUCUGUCAUCUGAUGGUAUCUCUUCCAACUUCAUGUCAUCCUCUGGGAAUCUGAUAAGUACAAGUUCUAUAUUAUUACAAACAUUGAUAAAAAUGUGGAGUGGGGUAGUGCUAAGACACACAGAAUACCAUGUGAAAUCUCCCUCCCUAUUUACAUGGACUCUUUAACAAGCCCCAUUUUGGUGACAUUCUGUUGCCUAGGCUGUAUCUUUCCACCUCUUCCAAUAGGGGAACAUAAAACGAUCUUGUCAAAUGCUUUGCAAAAGUCCAAAUGCACCAUGCCCACUGCAUUUCCCUCAUCAAGCUGGCAAAUAAAUGAAUAAUGCUGGCAAAUGGAAGAAUAUAAUUAGAUUGGCAAGACUUGUUUUUAGCACACUGAUGCCAAAUGGUCAUGAUUUAUCUUUCCAAGUGCUUAUAAACAACUCCCUUAACUGACAGCUAUAUGCACUUACCUAGGACUGACAGCAAUCUCACUGCUACACAUCACGGAAUAUUUUUUCUCUUUCUAUAAAGCAGAAUUAUAUAUAUCUGUUUCUAAGCUCUGGCAUCUUUAUUCCCUUGAUUCUGCAGAGAUCAUCUCCCUUAGUUUAGAGAUCACAUUUGCAAAUUUUCUGUGUCAAUUAAAAAAAAUCAUAUCCUUUGAUAAAACCCUAUAGAGAUGCAUGAAACACUGGUGAAAUUUAGGAUGUGUAUGACACAGGCUGUGAAGCAGACCAGAGUAGAAGACUCUGGAGACUAUGGUCAAUGUUAGGUUGCUGUCUCUUUAGUUGGAUUUGGUAUAGUGCUGCCUGGACACAUAAGUGUGGUUUUGAGUAGUCAUGACUUGAAGCUCUGUCAACCAGAGAUUUCUGAAAAAUUAGCUUCUAAAUAAUUUUUCUUCUCUCCUUCUGCCCAUAUUGCUCAUCCCUGCCAUCAGCACCUUCAGAGUACCAAAGUGCAAAAUCUACUAACAAUUGAGAUAGGACUUACCCACUUGCCCAAGCCUGGAUAGUCAUGUUCCGGAUCAAAGAGAUGCUGGUGCAACUGGAACUCUCGACU